AACGAACGCUGGCGGCAUGCCUAACACAUGCAAGUCGAACGAGACCUUCGGGUCUAGUGGCGCACGGGUGCGUAACGCGUGGGAACCUGCCCUUAGGUUCGGAAUAACUCCCCGAAAGGGGUGCUAAUACCGGAUAAUGUCUUCGGACCAAAGAUUUAUCGCCUUUGGAUGGGCCCGCGUUGGAUUAGCUAGUUGGUAGGGUAAAAGCCUACCAAGGCGACGAUCCAUAGCUGGUCUGAGAGGAUGAUCAGCCACACUGGGACUGAGACACGUCCCAGACUCCGACGGGAGGGAGCAGGGGGGAAUAUGGGACAAUGGGCGAAAGCCUGAGCCAGCAAGGCCGCGAGAGUGAUGAAGGCCUUAGGGUUGUAAAGCUCUUUUACCCGGGAUGAUAAUGACAGUACCGGGAGAAUAAGCUCCGGCUAACUCCGG
rnacentral:rRNA from 1 species